AGUGAACGCUGGCGGUAGGCCUAACACAUGCAAGUCGAACGGCAGCACAGUAAGAGCUUGCUCUUACGGGUGGCGAGUGGCGGACGGGUGAGGAAUACAUCGGAAUCUACUUUUUCGUGGGGGAUAACGUAGGGAAACUUACGCUAAUACCGCAUACGACCUACGGGUGAAAGCAGGGGAUCUUCGGACCUUGCGCGAUUGAAUGAGCCGAUGUCGGAUUAGCUAGUUGGCGGGGUAAAGGCCCACCAAGGCGACGAUCCGUAGCUGGUCUGAGAGGAUGAACAGGCAAAACUGGAAUGGGAACAGGGCCAAGAUCCCUAGGGAGGGAAGCAGGGGGAAUAUUUGGCAAAGGGCGCAAGCCUGAUCCAGCCAUACCGCGUGGGUGAAGAAGGCCUUCGGGUUGUAAAGCCCUUUUGUUGGGAAAGAAAAGCAGCAGGUUAAUACCCCGCUGUUCUGACGGUACCCAAAGAAUAAGCACCGGCUAACUUCGUG
rnacentral:rRNA from 1 species